UACGUAGGGUGCGAGCGUUGUCCGGAAUUAUUGGGCGUAAAGAGCUUGUAGGCGGUCUGUCGCGUCUGCUGUGAAAAUCCGGGGCUCAACCCCGGACUUGCAGUGGGUACGGGCAGACUAGAGUGUGGUAGGGGAGACUGGAAUUCCUGGUGUAGUGGUGAAAUGCGUAGAGAUCCGGAGGAACACCAGGAGGCGAAGGCGGCCAUCCUGGACCGGCAUUGACGCGUGAG
rnacentral:rRNA from 1 species